UUCUCAGAUGUGUAAUGCUGCAAUCUACUUUUAAACAGCUGCUGUGGCUCCUGAUCAAAGACAGAUCAUCUGUCUGGAAGAGAGUCACAAACUCAGCUUAUCCUUAGUUCCAAUCUGAGAGAUUGUCAUCGUUUUGAGAAAGAAGGGGACAACCAACCUUGGGGCUUUCUGACUUUGACCUGUGCCUGCCAUUGCUACAAAGUCACCAAUCUACAGAUUUGCAGUGCUAACAAGAACUCCUCCUGUUCUUCCUGAGCAGAUCAGCAGUGCCCGGAGUGAGUCAGUUCUAACAGCGUUAACUGAACAAAUGGGAACCUGGAAUAGAACGCUUUGAAGGAAAUGCUGGACUGACAUAUGCUGUUUUCGUACAUUUGUUGAACAUCAUUGAACAAUUCUAGUGCAGUAAUCAGAGAAUGGGGAAAUAUCUGGGGAUGUUUAUUUGAUAGAGUUUACAUUACACAGCCAGGGCAGUGUUUUGUGAUCUUUCUGAUCACGUUCCUUUUCUUGAUCUCUUUGCCAAGGAAUUUGUAAUGAUCAAAACUGAGCGCUGAGUGACCAAAAGCUGAUGUUUCAAAGUCUGUCUAAUGAAUGAGAAGUUCUUCAGCAGUGUAGUCCUCCCAGAGUGGAUCACAGAAGGGGCAUUUGUAUUGCAUAGCUGACUCCCAUUCUGAGGCUGUGGCAGUGAAUGCUUUCAUUUCCUGCUUCUAGCUUGCUCUGUCUGAUGAGUUGAUCGAGGUGGUGGCCUUUUUCUCCUCACACCAUAAAUCCCUUCAUCCUUCAGGCCCCUUCUCUUCAUCUCAAGGAAAACAGCUGAAGCCUUAUGCUGAAAUUGAGCUCACUUAGUCCCUGUUUGGCACAACUGAGCUAUCCGGUGACAUUUCAACCUCCUUGCAGAACUGGAAUGUUAAAGAUCUGCAUCCAGGUGGAAAUCAAUACUGAAGUCAAUGAAACUAAGCCAGAACAUAAUUCAUGGAAAUCAGUUUUAACUCCACUAAAUUCACCGAAAUUGCUGCCAUGUCAAAUAUAAAGUAACCCUGCUAAAGGCAUGGGAUAUAUUUGGUGUGAAAAUAACAUAAGAAUAUACUUAUUUGCUACUGUGUUUAAGAAGAAAAAAAUAUUCCUAAAAUAUUCCUGUGUGUUGCUUUGUGCCUUUGCUCCAUAAGUAAACUUACUGGACUGAGCAAGCCGUGGGUGAAAAUAAAUCCUUAAGAACCUAGGAAAACUGUACAUGAUCAAAUGCACAAACAGGUUGAAAUGUAUUUUCAGUUUUUCCAUAACUGAAGAGAGAAAAUCCUUUCCUUGGAAGGAAAGCUUACUAUUAAUGUUUUGUACUUCCCAAAAGAGAUCAGCUCCCAGACCCCACUGCUUCCCAGAUGGAGCUACAAGAGCAGAGCAUGCUUAGCAUAGGGUCAGAUGGGCAUUUAUGCCGAGUUAGUUAAUACAGAACUACUUAGUGAAUCUUCGUCACAGUGAAAUCAAAUCCUCUAAUACAGACAAGAAAUUAUGCUUUUUUUUUGGUAAGUGGAUUAAGAAAAUUAGGUGCUCAGCUGCAAUUAAUUAAAUUUGAAGAAAAAUAUAGUUCAUAUUCAUACCUCUGCUGGUACUGUAGCAUACUGUAGAAAUCAUCUGUGAUUUCAGAGUAUUCUCUUCUGCUGACUAUUACAGAUAUGAUCUGAAAGGUGGGGAUGAUUCCAAAGCAUUUGCAGUCUAAGAAUCAUCUCUAAUCUAAACAUAAUAUACUGCCAGGUCUGCCAUGAGUCUGCUGUACAACCAUUUUCUCUUUUCUGUGCAGCUCUUUCUGCUCUGAUCUUUUGCCUGUCUGUUUUACAUGAGUUCAGUAUUCUACUGCAGGAAUUAACCUUUAUGGUAUGGCUCUAAAAUGCCUAGAAUAAAUGGCUGUUCAUCUCGGUGGGGAACUUUAGACAUUGUCAUCAUGCAAAUAAGAAUUUAAUAUGUAACACAUCUGACCCUUUCGUUAUCAAUGCUUCUUUACACCCAAAGAAAAACAACAAUGAAGAGAAACAGACUCAGUUGUCAUACAAGAGAUGUGAAUACUUAAAUAGCUGUCUGCUCUCUUUCAUAUUUUUAAGAUUUAAAAGUUCGUGGUUUUUUUCUGCCUAUGUUAAAUGAAAAUAUCUUUACUUGAUAUUCAUCAUUCUACAAUGGCUAUUUUAUCACCUAGACAACAUGAAUAAAAGUUAUUAUUCUUAGUCAUUAGUCACUCAGUCAGGAAAGAGAGAAAUUGAAUGCUUUAGAACGUUUUACUUUUCUGUCAUUUUAGAGUAAAUGACAUUCCUAAAUGAUGGCCAGUCAAACCUGCAGAAUCUAUUAGUAACUUGAUAAUAAGUGUGGAGGGAUGCUGGGACCCAAAGGAGUCUUAAAGUGGCAUUUAUCAGGCAUGUCACAUCAUUGCUACUGGUAAUAAAAGCAUUUUUGUU
rnacentral:lncRNA from 7 species